CUUCGGGUUGUAAACGGCUUUUGGAUGGGACGAUGAUGACGGUACCAUCCGAAUAAGCCCCGGCUAACUCCGUGCCAGCAGCCGCGGUAAGACGGAGGGGGCAAGCGUUGUCCGGACUCACUGGGCGUAAAGGGUGCGCAGGCGGUGCCGUGCGUCGGCGCUGAAAGCGCCCGGCUUAACCGGGCGAGGUGCGGCGAUACSACGGCACUGGAGGCAGGUAGAGGUUGGCGGAAUUCCGGGUGUAGUGGUGAAAUGCGUAGAGAUCCGGAGGAACGUCGGUGGCGUAAGCGGCCAACUGGGCCUGACCUGACGCUGAGGCACGAAAGCGUGGGGAGCGAACCGGAUUAGAUACCCGGGUAGUCCACGCCGUAAACGAUGUCGGCUCGGUGUGUGAUGCUAUUACGCGUGUCGCGUGCCCAAGCUCACGCGGUAAGCCGACCGCCUGGGGACUACGACCGCAAGGNUAAAACUCAAAGGAAUUSACGGGGGCCCGCACWAGCAGCGGAGCGUGUGGUYUAAUUCGACGCAACGCGAAGAACCUUACCCAGRUUUGACAUGCGACUGCAAGCGCACGGAAANGUGUGACCUUCGAGGGUGUCGCACAGGUGCUGCAUGGCUGUCGUCAGCUCGUGUCGUGAGNNNNNNNNNNNNNNNNNNNNNNNNNNNNNACCCUUGCCGUCARUUAUCAGUGUUUGGCGGGACUGCCGGCUGUAUGGUCGGAGGAAGGCGGGGAUGACGUCAAGUCYGCAUGGCCCGKACGUCUGGGGCGACACACACGCUACAAUGACCAGCACAGCACGCUGCAAACCCGCAAGGGGGAGCUAAUCGCCAAAGCUGGUCUCAGUGCAGAUCGGGGGCUGCAACU
rnacentral:rRNA from 1 species